UGGAAACAGCUCUGCCGCGAGAAAGAC
rnacentral:piRNA from 1 species